AGCUCCAAUAGCGUAUAUUAAAGUUGUUGCAGUUAAAAAGCUCGUAGUUGGAUUUCUGGUCGAGUGUCCCUAGGCCGACUUGACGUUUGGUCCUAGGCGCUCUGCCAUCCUUCUGUUAACUCUCGCCUCGUUCGUUCGUGGCGUUAGGGCUCAGAUAUUUUACCUUGAGAAAAUUAGAGUGUUUCAGGCAGGCUUUCGCCGGAAUACAUUAGCAUGGAAUAAUGGAAAAGGACUUCAACCUCUUCUGUUGGUCUGAGAGGAUGUAGUAAUGAUUAAUAGGGAUAGUUGGGGGCAUUAGUACUUAACUGUCAGAGGUGAAAUUCUCCGAUUUGUUAAAGACUAACUUAUGCGAAAGCAUUUGCCAAGGAUGUUUUCA
rnacentral:rRNA from 1 species